GCUUUUUCCAACUAGUAGAUCAGUGUUGGCUAUUUAAAUCUUGUGGGUUGGCUCAUUUUUCUUCGGAUUUCUUGUUGAGUUUUACUUGGCUGGUUGAUAGAUACAAGAUUCGGGUGAUCAAGGUUCUACAUCAUUUAGAAUAAGCUAGUUGCUUCACAUUUAUUUGACUUGGAUGUGUAGCAAUGCGUCAUUAUUGUGGUGCCCAACUGCCCAAAUCAGAGGAUGGUGAAAAUGGGAAACUCGAGAAUGGGAAUUCUUUAAGAUUAAAUGGUGAAGGGCACAAUUG
rnacentral:misc_RNA from 1 species